rnacentral:rRNA from 1 species
AAAUCCAUCUAUUUCUCUGUUCUCCAAAGAGUCGAGUUGUUUGGGAAUGCAGCUCUAAGUGGGUGGUAAAUUCCAUCUAAAGCUAAAUAUUGGCGAGAGACCGAUAGCGAACAAGUACAGUGAUGGAAAGAUGAAAAGCACUUUGAAAAGAGAGUGAAAAAGUACGUGAAAUUGUUGAAAGGGAAGGGCUUGCAAGCAGACACAACCUCGUGUUGGGCCAGCAUCGGGGCGAGGGGAAGUAAAACAGUCAAGAAAUAUAACUCCCUCCGGGGAGCAUUACAGUCUUUGUCCUACCACUUCCAUCUCAUCCCGAGGCCUGCGAUUCUUCAAGGAUGCUGGCGUAAUGGUUGCAAGUCGCCCGUCUUGAAACACGGACC